CAGCAGCCACGGGAAUACAGAGGAUGCAAGCGUUAUCCGGAAUGAUUGGGCGUAAAGCGUCUGUAGGUGGCUUUUCAAGCCCGCCGUCAAAUCCCAGGGCUUAACCCUGGACAGGCGGUGGAAACUACCAAGCUGGAGUACGGUAGGGCAGAGGGAAUUUCCAGUGGAGCGGUGAAAUGCGUUGAGAUCGAAAAGAACACCAACAGCGAAAGCACUCUGCUGGGACGACACUGACACUAAGAGACGAAAGCUAGGGGUGCAAAUGGGAUUAGAUACCCCGGUAGUCCCUGUCUCUUAUACA
rnacentral:rRNA from 1 species